rnacentral:rRNA from 1 species
CAGUCGCCGCGGGAAUACGGAGGGAGCUAGCGUUGUUCGGAAUUACUGGGCGUAAAGCGCACGUAGGCGGAUAUUUAAGUCAGGGGUGAAAUCCCGCAGCUUAACUGCGGAACUGCCUUUGAUACUGGGUAUCUUGAGUAUGGAAGAGGUUAGUGGAAUUGCGAGUGUAGAGGUGAAAUUCGUAGAUAUUCGCAGGAACACCAGUGGCGAAGGCGGCUAACUGGUCCAUAACUGACGCUGAGGUGCGAAAGCGUGGGGAGCAAACAGGAUUAGAUACCCCCGUAGUCCCUGUCUCUUAUAC